rnacentral:rRNA from 1 species
UACGUAGGGUGCGAGCGUUGUCCGGAAUUACUGGGCGUAAAGAGCUCGUAGGUGGUUUGUCGCGUUGUCCGUGAAAACUCACAACUCAAUUGUGGGCGUGCGGGCGAUACGGGCAGACUGGAGUACUGCAGGGGAGACCGGAAUUCCUGGUGUAGCGGUGGAAUGCGCAGAUAUCAGGAGGAACACCGGUGGCGAAGGCGGGUCUCUGGGCAAUUCCUGACGCUGAGGCGCGAAAGCGUGGGGAUCAAACAGG